GCAUAUCACACCUUAAAUAUUCAGUUCACUUAAAACAAUCUCAUGAAUAAUACAGUUUAAAAUAAAAUAUUUUACUUCUCCUAACAAUGGGUUUUACAGCUUACAAGCUUAGGUCUGAACAUGCAUCAGUCUAUUUUACUUCAAGGAGUAGUGGUGACUUUUUUAGUGAGGUUUGGCUGGUGUUUCUGUUGGUGGAUUUACAGGUCUUCUGUCCUGCCUUUCUUUGCAGCUGAACCUGCUGGUGAAGGUGGUGCAGCUUCCCAAGCCACGUCCAGGACUGAGGCUCUGCGAGAUGCUGAGGCUCAGUGGUGCCCGUGCAGAUCAGCAGAGAUGGCAGAAGCUUCUGUGGCUGUUGAGUUACAGGUGUGUCUGCAGGGAGGACUUCUCCAACUCCUUUGCUGAUUCUUACACGGAAGCCUGCCUCCCAUCCCAGAGGUCCUCUGAGGGGAAAGAACAAAGCUACAGGACACCAGAAACCCCUUGAUCCAUCUGAAAACAUGAGGCAAAUGCUGAAGGAAAUGCAGAAGGCAGGAGAAGGAGAGCCUGUACAGAAGGAAGCAUUUCCCGGAGGAAGCAGUGGUUCCGUGCCAGCCUCUGCUGCAGGAAGGGAGGCCAUGCCAGGCACAGGCACAGGAG